UACGUAGGGUGCGAGCGUUAAUCGGAAUUACUGGGCGUAAAGCGUGCGCAGGCGGUUGUGCAAGACAGAUGUGAAAUCCCCGGGCUCAACCUGGGAACUGCAUUUGUGACUGCACGACUGGAGUGCGGCAGAGGGGGAUGGAAUUCCGCGUGUAGCAGUGAAAUGCGUAGAUAUGCGGAGGAACACCGAUGGCGAAGGCAAUCCCCUGGGCCUGCACUGACGCUCAUGCACGAAAGCGUGGGGAGCAAACAGGAUUAGAUACCCUGGUAGUCCACGCCCUAAACGAUGUCAACUGGUUGUUGGGAGGGUUUCUUCUCAGUAACGUAGCUAACGCGUGAAGUUGACCGCCUGGGGAGUACGGCCGCAAGGUUG
rnacentral:rRNA from 1 species